GGAUAUGAGAGUAAUUUGGCUGUGACACCUGCCACCACAUUGAUUGUCAGGGUUGAUUCGGCUGAUCUGGCUGAUUAGACAGGUGUCCCCUGCCUCCCUCACCGCUCCACCUGUGUCCCUCCUGAAGCUGCACACUUGGUCAAAGAGGACAACCUCCUCUGAUAGAGGAGGAUCAUUCUUUGGUCAAAGGCAUACAAAAAGUUGCCAGUACCUCCAAACAAGAAUAAAACAGGAGAGAUCAAUGAAAGGGAGAAAGAAAAAAAUGGCAAGGAGAAAAAAGAAAGUUU
rnacentral:snRNA from 1 species